UGACCAAGUCUCCAUCGAAGGACGCGGCUGCAAUGACACCUGGGUUGAAUGAAUCAUCAUCUGGAGGACACGUGGAGGAAUCUGUUGAAAAGGAAGAUGCCCAUUUGACGGUCGGGAUGGAGAUUGAGAAGAAUUAACGAUUAAGGAGAGCCAACAUUCAUCUGAAAGAUUAUCUAUUAGAAUAAAUAGAUGAAUUGGAGGAGGAGGAGGAGGAUGGGAGAAGAAUCAAAGGCCUUUCUCUGAGGAGUUAGGAAGAGGAGCUCGGUGGUGAUUCACUACCGGGAGUAAACGGUUGAAAUUUGAAAAUGAAGCAUUUUUGGGGUCUUUGCCAACGAAAGCAUGAAGCGCGCUAAAGGAAGAGAAGAAGCUCAGUUCUCAAGAAAGCUCUUCGCGGAAAACCCUAGAAUCCAUGGGAUCUCGACGGUGUUGCCUCCCGAAGAGCUCCUGGUCAAGGAUGGAGGGAUGGAGGGAAGGAGGGAAGGAUUCAGGGAACAAGCCCGGAAGCGGCACAACAGAGGUGGCUCUUGUAGUGGUCUCUGAGCUUGAGAAAAGGGCCCGCCGGGCGGAGAGGUUUGGAAUCAUUGUGAUGCUGUUGGAGGAGGAGAAGCGCGACUCUUGAGCUGAAAGGUUUGGUCUAGCUUGAAAGAUUUGCUUAGAACAACAGGGCUAAUAUUGAAGAAGAGAAAUGAAAGGUGAGUGCUGCCAGGUUUUCGCAAAUAUCUAUCACUCAACUGCUGCCCAGCCAAGUUCCAAACACCAAGGCCUUGUAUCAUCUUGAGGUAGCACAGCCUGCCAAUGAAAAUAUCUUGCUUAAUGUGCUUCAUAACAUUUUGUUGCUGCCCUGAUGCAGCGAAGCCUCCCAUCUGCGGGCGUCCCUGCCGUAAUGUGCUCUGCUAUCUGUUAACAUCUUCCACAUCUAGUGGAGUCGGUAUUUGUUUGUUUUCUUGUUAGAGGUCUUUGUCUCUUUCUUUGUUUGUGAACACUGCCUUCUUUUUUUAUUAUA